rnacentral:rRNA from 1 species
GACAGAGGUCUCAAGCGUUAAUCGGAAUUACUGGGCGUAAAGCGUGCGCAGGCGGUGAUGUAAGACAGGUGUGAAAUCCCCGGGCUUAACCUGGGAACUGCAUUUGUGACUGCAUCGCUGGAGUGCGGCAGAGGGGGAUGGAAUUCCGCGUGUAGCAGUGAAAUGCGUAGAUAUGCGGAGGAACACCGAUGGCGAAGGCAAUCCCCUGGGCCUGCACUGACGCUCAUGCACGAAAGCGUGGGGAGCAAACAGG